GGCAGUUUCAUGUAAAAUGACAGGAAGCAUUGUGAGAACACUGAGGAAAGCUAGGGAUCAUGGGAAAAUUGCUCUGACCAGCGGAAAUGAAGCACACUUUGCUCCUCCGCUGGUCAGAGCUGGUCAAGCGGAGGAAUCCUCCAUAAGGCAAAGAGUCCCUACUUUGUCUUAUGAUUUUAAAGAAAACUAAAGAAGACAGGAAGAAAUGAA